AGAGUUUGAUCAUGGCUCAGAGCGAACGUUAGCGGCGGGCCUAACACAUGCAAGUCGAGCGAGAAAGUGGCUUCGGCCAUCAGUAAAGCGGCGGACGGGUGAGUAACACGUAGGUAAUCUUCCCUUGAGCGGGGGACAACGUUUCGAAAGGAACGCUAAUACCGCAUACGUUUCCAGGGACCCCGGUCUCUGGAAGGAAAGCUAGGUCGCAAGAUCCGGCACUCGAGGAGGGGCCUGCGUCGCAUCAGCUAGUUGGUGGGGUAACGGCCUACCAAGGCGACGAUCGGUAGCUGGUCUGAGAGGAUGGUCAGCCACACUGGGAUUGAGAACGGCCCAGACUCCUACGGGGGGCAGCAGUGAGGGAUCUUCGGCAAUGGGGGCAACCCUGACCGAGCAACGCCGCGUGCGGGACGACGCCUUUCGGGGUGUAAACCGCUUUUCUGGGGGACGAGGGAGUACGGACGGUACCCCAGGAAGAAGUCUCGGCUAACUACGUGCCAGCAGCCGCGGUAAUAC
rnacentral:rRNA from 1 species